AAAAAGCUCAAGGACGUACAUACAGUAGCUCUAAACCUGCAGUGGUGUGGGGGAUGUUUCUUGACUGAUAUUGGAAGUGUAGAAUUAGCAUAAUCAGCAGUCAUUACUCCAGAGUCUCUGGACUCUUUGAUACUCUUGCUGUGAGCAGAAUGUGCUUCAACAUGCUGUGUUCCACUCAUUGAGAAAAUGAAAGAUUUGAAGAGACUGUGGAUUAAUGAUCUCCAGUUGGCCAGUUUCACUUGUGUAGGUAACAGCAGAUGGCAGAAGAGGGGCAGUCUGACAAAAUGGUGUCUGACAUGGAAGUGCGGAUGAAGCAAAGGUGUGUCACUGACUUCCUUCAUGUGGAAAAAAUGCCACCCACUGACAUUCAUCAGUGCUUGCUGAAUGCUUAUGGAGACCAAAAAGUGGAGAGCAUGUUCCCUAGCCUCACAGACCUCAGAUCUGUAGUUGAAGCACUGGAGCUGAAACCGUAUCAUUGGCACUGGGACAACUAGGCUGGACUUGGAUAAUUCCGGAAUCCUCACUGCAAGACCUGAUACAUCUUCUCAGAUGGGACAGUUAAGCAGUUUCACUAUUACUUGCUCUCCUUCUUCCCUAUUCCCCUGUGGUUGAUUCACACAAAAAUAAAUUAUCUUCAUCAGCUAUACUUUUCAUGCACAGCUCUUGGUCUAGGCUGCUGGUUUAAAAGAUCUGAAUUAAAAUCUAUUUACUUCCAGUGUCACGUUGAAAUACUGGUUUAUUUGCAGGAAAUGUUUCAUUUUGUUUUUCUUUUAGGAUUCUUUUUUCUUUCACUUCCUUUAUUUUAAGAUAUAUUUUACCACUUCCUAUUUCAGCCUUUGUAUAAGUACUUGUUGAUAAUCUAUUAUUUUUUCUAAUUAUAUUUUUAUAUCUCCUUUAUUCAGUGUACUGCUGAAGGAAAAGCAGAACAAUAAUGAAAGUAAAUGAGCUAUAUGGUUGAGAUGAAAAUUAAAUAGCCUUUCUGAAUUUGUCAGUUUUCUACAUAGUUUUUAUUUGAGAGUUUAUUAUAAAUGCAACCAUGCUGAAUUGAAGUUGUAAAGACUUGUUCUGCCUUUCCCUACUUCCUUUGUGCUUGCUUUUGUGGCUGUGGUGAAGCAUGAAGUAUUCAAUUUAAUAAUUACAUUUAAAAGAAAGUUAAUUAUACAAAGCUGCUCUGUGCCACAUCCACAUAAAUACAUUUAGUUGUCAAAUUUGCUGAAAUUUGAAUCUCCCUGGAAGAGCGUUAGUAUUACAAUUUCGCACACUUCAACAGCAGCUAUGUAAAUACUCAACUCUGAAAUCAAAUGCUAAUUUUUCCCAAGGAUUAGAUAAGUCAUGUAGCUAAUAUUUUUGUUGACUUUUAUCCCAAUAAGAUUUGCACUGUCCUACUUAUAAUGUGAAAAAAUAGAUUUCUGGUUAGGACACUUGGCAAUCACGGGGAUGUUGCAGUUCAGAUCCAGUUGUUGAUGUGUUCUCAUACAUUUUCAGUCACAUCAUGUUUUUAAAACAUGCUCAGUCAUAUUUUUAGGAUAUGUUGAUUUUUUUUUGUGUUUGGAGGUGAAGACAAUAUUUUACACAGUCAUAUAUACUGUAAGCUGCUAAAUAGCAUAUCCUUUUAAUGUGACAAAUAUCUAUACUGUUAGCUAACAUGGACAGUGCAAUCUCAUUGUGGGAGUUAAGUGAUGAGAUGAAAUAGCCCAUGAUCUUGGAAAUGUGGGUUACAGUUUCUUAGGUAUUACAGACUAUAUCACUAAUGAAGCAAUUUGUUCUGUGUCCACUCACAUUUCAUUUGCUGCCAUCAACAAUUAAGAGAUGUCGUAGUAAGGUCAUCGUAGAUUAACACCUUGUCUUUGCAAAGAUCUCAUUAAAAUAGAGAGGAAUUCUAAUUCCUAGCCAAGAUAAUGUUAAUUUGAUGAGAGAAUAAAUAUUGUGGAAGCAAUUUGUGCAAGAGAAAUGAAUGUUAAAAGUAUUAUUCUCUUUUCAAUAAAAGAAGUAAUUCUUACAUGGAAAGAUAGCCUAUUGAAAAAAAUAGUCAGACAUGUUACUGCAGGAAAUGGUUAGAUACCUUGGCCUGGUUAAGGAAGCAUGUCAUGUUGUCCGAGAUUUGCACAGAUGUGCAGAGCCAUAAAUAAAUUGAACAGAAAAUAAGAUUUCUCCCUUUGCUGGUUGCCAGUGUUACAGUUAAACUACAAAGAAAGUAAUUUCUCCAACCAUCAUACAUUUACUUCCCAGUCAUCCUCGAAUGCUUGUAACAGUGAAGGGCGUUGUAAUUGACAUUUCAUUCUAAUACACUGGCUGCCUUGCCUGAAUUUUGGCUGGUUGAUAAGGCUCUUGGAAAUCCAGAGUCUCAUCAUGUCCUGAACAAUUUCAAUCCAGCCCUAUGGCAAUCUAAGUGCUUAACCAGCAAAACAGGAAAGACAAUAUUUGGAGAUGCUACCUUUCAAAAUGCACACAGCAGAGUAACUGAAAUAAUCAAAUUGCUCCUGAAUAAUCCUUUUUCAAAUUUGAAAGCAGAAUGAAGAAAAGAUUUAAAAGAAUAUACAUGUCAAUUUAAGCAAAUAAAAUGUGCAGACAUGAAUUCAUCACAACUGUAUUGUCACUGACGUUGCAUUUCAGAUAAAUUUGAUGAUAAUAUCACAUUUUUUUAAAGGAGGAAAAAAAUCAAUAAUUUUGUCUACAGACUUUGCAUUAUAUUCCAGUUACUUGAAAGAAAAUGUCAUGUGCAUCAACUCAUUCUUCAGGAUGUACUUUCUGAAAAGAUGUGGAUAAUAUUACAUAGACUAAGGUAUUGAUCUCUCAAGUUCUUCAGAAAUGAAGUGUCAUGUCUUUCAACUUGUUCUUCUUUGCGAUUCCAUCAUAUUUUCAUUCAUAUGGGCUUCUUUUCUUGAAAAUGUAUUACUUACAUGAUGAGCUUUACUUCAUUCUAAGUCUCUGAAAAAUGCUCAUUUUUCACAGCUUCCUUUUUCUGUAAUUGUAUGUGCUUUGUAUCAGAAGUUUAAACAGAAGUUUAUCUGACACAAUAAUUAUGCAGAUGCAAAGAUUUUUGUACUUGAUUUAUAUAAAUGCUGUGAGGUUUGAAUUUGUUUCUUUUCCUUUUUCUUUUUUUCCUUCUCUCUGUCUUUUUUUUUUUUUUUUUUUUCUUUUUUUCCCCUUGUUGCAGUGUAUGGAAAUCUAUGCUGAUCUUGUCAAUAAUGGCUUAUCCACUGGACAGAUGAAAGUUGUAUUUCUGCAAAAGACAUUUUAUUUUAUUUUUUUGUCUGUGGCACCUCAGUGUAGAAUUUUCACAUUUUUUUUUUCUGUUGUUGCUGCUCUUAUUGAGCAAAUAAAGAGGGAUCACACAAGGUCAUCUCUUUCCUGAAACAAGAAAUAAUAAAUUAUUGUAAUCACUAAAACACAGAAACUGAAAAUAACCCUGCCUACCAAAUUCCCAGAGCCAAAUUUACUCCCCAGGUAUGCAUUGCUAAGUCAGGUUGGUAAAGCAUCUUAAAAAUCAAGCUGUGGAGCUGAAUGUAGAGUGAGGGUUUCUCAGAGGCUCUGUGUAGUUUGCCACUAACCUGAACGUCUGGAAACUCUAACACUGAAGAUCCCUGUUCAUGAGCACAGCUCAGAAUCAGUGAGUUGAGCAGAGUAAUGGCUUUUCCAGCUCAAUCUUCUAUUGGUCCCUGAGAAUAAGAGCUGCUAGUAACUAAAGAUCAUAUCACAGAAUCACAGAAUCAUAGAAUGGCCUGAGUUGAAAAGGACCUCAAAGAUCAUUUAGUUACAACCCCCCUGCUAUGUGCAGGGUUGCCAACCACUAGACCAGGCUGCCCAGAGACACCGUCCAGUCCAUUCUCUGGCAGCAAGGUCAAAACAGGUGUAAAACUGUCUGUAAGUGUAACAUUCAGCUCCUGCUCUGCAAGCAGAUUUGGUGAUGUUCUUUUACGCAUCCAAACCCCUGAACUGUGCCCAGGAAUCAUUUGAGAGCAUGCUAAUUCAUCCAGACUAGAACAAGGCUAGGGCUGAUAGUAAAGGUAACCAAGAUCAACUGCCUGGGGAAAGGUUCUCUGGCUUUGUAUAAUGUAGGAGUACAUAGACAGCACUGAAACUUUAGCACUUUAGCUCCCAUAUGGAGUCACACUUAGAAAUCUGGAAGCAAAAUGAUUUUGAUUAUUCUGAAAUUAUGUUUCUAUUAUUUUGCCCCAGUGAGUAAUUUACAAAAUUAAAGUGUGCUUAAUUCUAAAAAUCUAAUAUAGUCACUUUGCUACUAGUGAGAAUAUCAUCACUCUGUCUCUAAUUUAGUCUUGUAACUUUUGAGUCACCUUCAUCUCACGUUUCCAUAAGGGACAGAUUAUGUCUACAUUUUGUUAAAAGCUUAACACAUGAUAAACAUUUGCAGGGGAACACAGCUACGUUUGAGCUGCUUUAAGGCAAUGGUCCAUGUGCAUGCCCUACCAUGUGGAACCCUGUUGAGAAUCAGUUUAUUCAGGUGAGCAUAUUCUUCCCCGAAACACAAGUCAAUAGAUCAUAUUUAUUGUGGAGCUUUGUAGGGAAGGAAAUGCAUACAGUAUGAUGGAAAAACUGAUAUUUGGUAACUUCUUUUCUUCUCCUUGUGGCAAUUUUAUUCGUAUGUUUAUUUGAUACCUGUGAAAUUAACUCUCCAUAUUCUCCCAUGUGGUAUUGUCCAGAGUCUCCUGUGACUCAUAUUUUCUUCUCUGGUCUCCUUGUGUAUUGUAUAAAUAAUUUUUCUCCUCUUUAAAGGCUCUCCAUAGCCAUCUCAAUCCUAUCUAUCAACUAUCUGACACUGUUGUCAAUUUAUGUGUCUGGUUGGCUUGCUGUAAUUAAAUAAUCACUUUCUUCUUAAUCAUUUUUAAGGAGCUACCUAUAAAUAUUGGCACUUUUUUUCAAUAGUAAAAAUCAAAAUAUUUUUUAAGAGUGUUAUUUGCUAUGGCAUCCAUGAAAAACUAUAUCAGCCAAGGACCAUAUUGUACUGGGAUCAUUUAUGUGUCAUAAUGGUCUUAUCUUUUCCUUGUAUCUCCCCUCCCAAUGAACUAGAAUGUAGUUAUCUAGCCAUGUGUGUCAAACAACAGUGUGAUUAUUACUGAACAGGGGCAUUAUUUUUGUUCUGCGUUCAUACAGCCUGUGAAACAAUAGAGAUAUCACUGAGCUGUUACUUCUUUUUUUUUUCCAUAUGUGCAUGAAAAACACAGCGUUCUGUGGUAAUUUUGAUGGCAAACAGCAUACAAAGAAAAGCUUACUUUCAGAACAACACGCCCCCCAGAACAAACAAUUUAUAAAACUAAGCAACUUCUCUGCCACUUGCAAGAGUCCAAAGCAUCUGUCUACAUCUGCCUUGGGCACUGGAAAAAAGGCCCAGGGUAGUGAUUAUGGCACCAAGCCUUCCAGAAUUCAAGAAGCAUUUGGACAACAUCUUCAGACAUAGGGUUUGAAUUUUGAGUUGUCCUGUGUGAAGCCAGGAGUUGGACUUGAUGAUCCUUGUGGAUCCCUUCCAACUCAGGAUAUUCUACCAUUCUAUGAUUCUAUGUUGUUUUGAAUUUUGCCUGGUGCAGAUUAUACAUUCUUCAGCACACUAAGGCAAACAGUUUGGGAAAUUCUGUUUAAAGCAGCUUAAUUGGCCUAAUUCUCCAGAACUUGGAUUGCAAAGGGGUGUUCUCAGCCUACAGUCAUCUGGAAGCUAUAGCUUAUCUCAAAGAUAAAACUAGGUUGGUUCUUACUGUGUUUGAUAUAUGUGUAAAACUACAUACAUAUACACAGAUGUACAUGUAUGCAGACAAUACAUCUGUGGCAGCAUGCUCCUUCAUUUCUGUUCUCUGAAGUACUGAAUCAGAAUGUGAAAAAUAAAUUUGCUUUUGGGUUAUUAUCAUCUCUAACUAAUCUAAAUCAGUUUCAGAUUAACCCAUUUUCUCCCCAAGGUAAAAUUAGACACCAAAUUUCAGCAUGAGAAUCAAUAGUCCACUACUGACUUGCCUUUAAAUUGCAAUAUUCUAGGUAUCAUUACUUUAAAUUUUCUUUAUCACAUUCAUAAAUUUGCAUUUUCAUAAAGUUCCAUAAAAUAUGAUAAUAACAGUAAUAAUAGUGAACAGAUUGAGGGACACAUACAGAUACAAAAAAUCGUGGAAGUGAAGCAGUGUCAAGGAAAAUAAUUUGCUGCAAUGGUAGGAGAUUGUCAACUUUCACACAGGAAGUCAUUAAAUUUUUUCUCUUUUGAAUUAUAAUUUUGGCACUUUCAUAUAGCAGCAAGGUAAUAGAUUUUCAUUAUCCAGAGUGCAAAAACAUUGGCUGUGGAAAAAGCAACAGAGCUCAGAUUAAUAGGAGAUGACAAGCUGACCAAAGAGGAAGUGGCAGCAUGGCUGGCACCAUGGCUCAGUGGUUGUGACAGGCAAUUAGUGAACAGAGCAGAACAGAUGUAACAGAAGGCAGCAACAAUUUACUGAAGCAUUAGCUUGCUCACUCUGUAGUACAGAGCACUGAUAGUUUGCUGAUACGAAUAAAUACUAAUAUGAUCUCGGGAGGUGAAAAGAGGUAGUGUGCACAGUCAUCUUACAAAUUAAAAAAAAAAUCAACAAAUAAAGCAAUAACAAGAAAAACAUUACAAACAAACAAAUAAACCAAGCAACCACCAUGACUAGCAACAAAAGUAACUACUCAAAACCAAACCAAACCAAAAACUAGAAACAAGAUCAAGUAGAUGCAAGAGAAAAAAGACCAGCCUUAUGUCCUUUUCAAGACUUGAUUGAGAAUCUUGCUUCAGUACUAGAUUGCAGCAUGCUUGAAAAGAGAUCAUACAGCAGAGAACUUGCAACAGUGUGUUCAUUUUUCACAGUACUUAAAGAGAAAGCACAGUGUUUGUUUUUGUUGUAUUUCUUGCUGUUGUACUAGGAGAGGCUUACAUUAACAAAGCUCCUUGAUGUUGCUGCUGGUUGGCGGAGAAUAGGAGAAUGGGAGAUCUUUGUGAUUACAAUGUUACCUUGCUGAAUUUAAAACCCAAACAAACAUAACACCUUCCUUGUUAUUUCUAUUUAAGACCACAUGUAUCUAGUAUUAUGCAAAAUUAUAUUAAUUUACUUCAGAGAACUUCUAGGCCUCAGUUGUCUUAUGUCUCAAAGGACUAAGUGAGCCAUAUGUUCAGGAAAGUUGGGAUUGAAUAAGUUAUACUUGUUAUACUAUACAAGCGUUGUUAUGAUAUUCCUAAACAUAGUGAUGAAGCUAUUAUAUUGCUGUUAACUGUAGAGAAUACAUCAUCAUUCCAUAAAUUGGCAUAAAAUUUAUAUAAUGGGAGCAUAUGUUAGUUAGAAUUGGAAAAGAAAAAGGCCAGUCCUGUGUGUAUAGUCCAUAGAAUCACUAUUAACAUCUUUUACUGACAGUUAACAAUAAUUUGCUCUAUUCCCAUGAAGAUCUGGCACUUACUUGUAAAGUAAUACAAAUUAAAACCAAUCGAACCUUGAAUAAGUUUCACCUUUUUUGCUAAGGACUGGACUUAAGGAUCAAUUCCAUACCACCAGGUGAAUCUUAAUAAUAAUUUUAAUGGUUCCAGAUAAAAAAUAGUUCUAUUUUACUGUAGUUGUUCAUCCCUCACCAAGACAGCACCUUUUGUAAUAAUACAUGAUUUGGUACCAUCCACUCCGGAUCAUGACAAAUUUGGAAUUCAAAAAGUCAUGGAAAGUGAAGGCGCUGCAUGAGUCAAGAGGAUAUCCUCAGUUUCUGGCUCCAGUUGACUACAGGAAUGAUUUCUGAUAACGACUCACUGGUUCUGGAUGAGUUUUUCCAUGAGGGAGAUCAUAUCCCAUCUCAUCCCAUCCUACCCUACCCUACCCUACCCUACCCUACCCUACCCUACCCUACCCUACCCUACCCUAUCCUAUCCCAUCCUACCCUAUCCCAUCCCAUCCCAUCCUAUCCUAUCCUAUCCUAUCCUAUCCCAUCCCAUCCCAUCCCAUCCCAUCCUAUCCUAUCCUAUCCUAUCCUAUCCUAUCCUAUCCUAUCCUAUCCUAUCCUAUCCUAUCCUAUCCCAUCCCAUCCCAUCCCAUCCCAUCCCAUCCCACCCCACCCCACCCCACCCCACCCCAUCCCAUCCCAUCCCAUCCCAUCCCAUCCCAUCCUAUCCUAUCCUAUCCUAUCCUAUCCUAUCCUAUCCUAUCCUAUCCUAUCCUAUCCUAUCCUAUCCUAUCCUACAUCUUAACUCUCUCUCAUCUCCAAAGACUGGUGCUUGGAUGCAACUAAAGGAAAAAAUGAUUGCCAUAUAUGUUUUCCCUGAGGAAAAAAAUGAUGUGUCAGAAUCAUAAAAUGUGAAUACUUGAGAAAUAUGGUUUUAUUGUGAUUUUAUUAAGGAAGACAAGGAUUGAUGUAAACUAACACAAAAUUCUUUCAAUCAAAUUCUAACAUGAUGAAACUCUGAAGUUUUUCUUUAAAAUUGGAAGAAUCAUAUUAAUUUGACUGAAGCACUCUUGUUUGUUUUUAGUAUGUGUAUAUUUAAGAGAAAAAAAAAGAUUCAAUCUGAGAGAAUUAAGUUUUCUCUACUUAUGUAAAUGAAUUGCUAAUUCAGUUCACUUAAAAGUGCAGUUACAAGCUGAGGGGAAGAGAAUGCAGAAGAGAGGGCACUUUAGAAAAUGGCUUAAUGAGAGAAAAAAAAAACAGAAAAAAAAAGAAGGAAAUUGGAAAAAUACAAAAUAAAGAAUAUUUUCUUGCCAACGUAGAAGUCUUGAAAGAUCAUUCUAAGUGUAAAUCUUGUAGGCCUGGACUCAUCACCAUCUUAAUUCAGCUCUGUCUUAUUACCACUUCAGUAGCACACAGGUAUCUGUUUAUUAGAUGCCAAUUGUUUAGAAAUUCUUUUUAUAUGUGGUAAACCUCAUACUGAAAUGUUCAUUUCACAGCAAUCAGGAAAUACCUUUAAAAUGUUUUAUGAGCUCUUUUGAAUUUCAGUGGAAGACUUACUUGUUUUACCUGAUCUACAAAAAUUUUGAUGACUCAUGAGCUUUCUUUGACAAGUUUGUCUGUGUGGACUGCAGAGACAGAUUCUCAACAGUAUCCCCCAAAUAGAGAAAGGUGUAACAAAAUAAAGUUAUUAAUUAUAUGUUCUCAAUUUAGAUAUCCAAAUAAAUAAUUUUAAUUUGUUGAUCACAGUAAAUAGCAAUGAUGUCCUUGGAAUAGUAAGUAUACCAGAGUUAACAAACCUACUGAAUCUGAAGUUCUGAACCAAAAAAUGUUACACUGCACUGUACAUCACCUUUCCAAUAAGUAAAGUACUCAGUAUCCAGGUAACUAUUACUUUUACUCUAUUUUGUCAAGAACAGCACAAAUCUUCCACCAAAACACCACUAAUGUGAAAGAACUGACACACAGGUUGUAAACAUUUAUGUAGUGAUAUUUGCAUUGAAAAAGUUCUUAGUGAAAUAGAGAUGAAACUUGUAGAUGGCUAUACACACAUAAACUUUUUGGUGAAUUAGGUCUAGUGAACCAAUGGUUAUGUCUAGUUGAAAUCAAUUAUUAAAAUUCAGAUAACAGCUAUUCUUCUGUAGUUAGCAGGAAGAGAGAAAGAGAAAAAAAGGCUGCUCAUUCACAUAUCUGGGCCUAUGUAUCCUAAAUAUCCAUAAUCAGGCACUUCUGCAGUUGAUUCUCUUCUCACUGGCUAUAGAAGAAAUCUACGAGGGCUUCUAAAAAGUUAUGUCUGCUACUUUAUUAUAUUGGCCUACAAUAUCUGAGGUGGAUGUUGAUAGUAUAGCAGUAGAGGUUGAACCUUCCUGCCAGUAUUCCAUUAUGUUUUUUUUUUUUGCCAUGCAACAGAUGGCAGCAGAGGGAAGGUCUGACAGAAUGCUGUUUGACAUGGGAGCAUGCAUGAAAUGUGGAAUUCCUCCAUGUGGGAAAAAUUGCACCCACUGAUAUUCAUUGACACUUGCUGAACAUAUAUGGAGACCAAACAGUGGAUGUGAACACAGUGAAGUGAUGUGUGGUGUUUCAGCAGUAGCAACAGUGAUGUGAAAGACAAGCCAUAUUCCAGAUGGCCAUGAAGAUUUUUAUGAGCACAACAUUCAGGCCUUUGUUCAUUGCUAGUGAUGAAUAUGUACAAAAAUAGUAUCCUGUAGCUGAGAAUUUUGUCUGUCAGUGUUAUUGUACUCUUUGUGUCUGUUAUAGUUUCCAUGGAAAUAAAUAGGAGGCAUUACUUUUGGAACUACCAACAGAGAUAACCAGCUAUAAGCCAAAUUUCUAACUUUCAAAUGACUAAAUUUAGGUUAGAUGUAGUCCAUGCAUAACUGUAUUUUCUUAUUCUAUGAAGAAUGUAAGAAUGGCUACAGUAGUUUAUAUCCUAAGUCUCAACUGAUGGCUAGUAUUGCUUGUCUAGAAAAGAGUUUAUGAUAAGGGAAAUAAUAUGUCCGCAUUGUUCCCUAUAUGUUUGCAUUCUUCAGUCAUCUGACACUAAGCAUGAUACUCAGUUUGAGAUUUGGUCUUCAUAUCACAUUCAAAUAGGAAAUGCUGAGUGAUUUAAUGUAACUAAUGCAAUCUAAUCUGUAGCCAUUAGACAAAAAUAACAAUUAGACGUGCCACUUUUCUGCAUGGAUAUUACAAAUUUAAGGCCAUCCCUUAUAAAUGAAAAAUGCUACUUCAGAGUGUUUACUGAAAACAUGAGGGCAUUUUUACCACAAGAAAACUACACAGUGAUUGUUAUCUCCAUGUAAAAUCCUAACAGGCAUAAGGUAGAGCUAGUUUUAACCUCAGAGCACUGAGAUAAACCUGAAGAAGUAAAUACAAAGCUGACCUUCACUGACCAUAUCAAGGCAUAGAUAUAGAUAGCUAUUACAUUGUUUGAGAUAUUCUCUUUUUUGUUUUAUUUAUAAUAAAAUACUUCUGUCCUUUAUUUCUCCUUACUUCAGUGAUAUAAUAUGGAUGCUUUUCCAGUUCAGAGGUGAAGUUUUUUUCUCUGCAAAAGUAACUCUAAUCCCAGUUUUGUCCACUUCUGUGUCUGCAUUUCUUUAACUGGUCACUGAAUCACAAAAUCACAGAAUUGCAGAAAUUGAAAGAGACCUCAAGAGAUCAUCGAGUCCAGCCUGCCCCUGCUAAAGCAGGUACCCUACAAGAGGUCACACAGGUUGCUGAUGAUGUUGAACAAGACCAGACCCAGCACUGACACCUGGGAAGCACCGGUAAUUAAAGGCCUCAAGCCAGAUUCUGUGCUGCUGAUGACAACCCUGUGAGCUCUGACAGUGAAACAGUUCUCAAUCCAGCUCACUGUCCACUCAUCUGUGCCACAUUCUCUACAUUUCAUAACCGGGAUGUUGUGGGAGACGGUGUCAAAUGCCCUACUGAAGUCACGGUACACAACAUCCACUGCUCUCCCUCCAUGUACCCAGACAGUGGUGACAUCAUAGAAGGAUAUCAGCAGCGAACAAGAGUUUCCAUGCCACGUUCAUAAAAUCUGCUCCAUUGGAGGCGACCUACUGCUGCUAUCACCAUUGCUGAAACACAUCACCCACCACCUCACUGCUCACAUACACUGUUUGGUCUCCAUAAGCAUUCAGCAAGUAUUGAUGAAUGUCAGUAGGUACAAUUAUUUUUGAAUGGAGGAAAUCAAUGACACACCUUUGCUUCAUAACACCCUACAGUAUUUUAUCAGACUGCCCCUCUAACGCCAUCCAGCACACAGCAACAAAAUAUAGAGUAUUGGUGGGAAGGUUCAGCCUCUACUGCUAUACAACCAACAUUCCAUGUCUGCCAUUGCAGGCCAAUGUAAUAAAAUAUGAUGCAUCACUUUUGGAGCAGCCAUCAUGCCAUGAGUAUUUUGGCUUUCAUAUAUUGUAACUGAUAUAAUAUGUUCAACUUUUCUUAAUAUAAUAGUUUAGAGUCUUAUUUUUAUUUACUAUUUUCUUUCUUGUUCCUAAGAAAGUCUUUGAAUGUUGCAACUCUCAUUAUCUAGUCUUGCUGGGAAAACCAUAAAAAAGUCAAAGCACCUAUAUAUGUAGAAAAUAUAAUAUGAAGCAAAUCAAGAAUGAAAGAUAAAGAAUUAACUCAGAAAACAAUGAGAUUUGUAUUUAAAAAAAUACAUAACUUUGACUUUUUAUUAUUAUUCACAUAUAUUCUGCCUACAAGUUCUAAACUCUUAGAAAUACUGCAGUUGAUAAUCACACAGAGCAUUCCAAAAGCACCAAUAAAUUCAGUGAAAUACUCAUGAUGGUGACCUUAUGUUAUUAGUGUUACCUCAAAAAAGUCUCAAUAUAUGUAGCUGACAGCUGUACAUGUGCAUUUUGCUUCGGUAUAUCAGAUUUUUGUGCAGAUGAAGAUUGUGUUAUGACUGUCUCUUUCAUAGGUGAUAACAGUUCUGUUUCUCUUUGAGAGGUGCAAAACACAAUUGCUCCUAUGUGAUCCACAGACCUUAUGGAUGUGGAGGGUGAAAUAUUACUUAGGACAACUGUGUAGAUGCAACAAACUAUCAGCAUUGCAUAAACCAUUCUCCAUAUUUUGUCAUUUGACAGUUUCUGAUUUAUGCUGUUUCUCCAUCCAUCUGAAGUAGGUGUUUUUGUGCUUGUGUCAUGACUCUGUGUGAGUCCAGUUUCCUUCAGACAUACUUCUGGUUCCUGGCGUUACUCUUUCACCACACAGACUGUACGGAGUGCAUUUCAAAAGCUACCCUACCAAAUAAAAUAAUGGCUAUUUCUAGAAAUGUUGGUAGACCAAACUCUUUCUGUAGGCAGUCUUAGGCCAGUUGUAAAUAUCUAUAUUUAAAAAUACAAGCAUAACUCUAGAUUCCAGAGCAGCAGAAGUAUCUCAUUGAAUCAACUCCGUCUGUUUUUAGGCAUACUUUCAUGAUUCACAAAAUGAAGUCUUAUCUAUUACUUUCUACAGACCUUGUUCUUCUUCUUGUUUUCCUUUAAAGAAGAAAAGAUGCAAAAGCGGUGGUACCUACAUGUAGAAUUCUGAAAAUAAUGGAAAUUAAGAUAAUAAAUCUCUCCUAACAAGAACAUAUAUGAUGUUUCUGCUUCUUAGAGAUAAGUCAGGUGUUUGGAAAGCUUCUUGCAAUCACUGAGUGUAGUGCUUUAGAAGUCUUGUCUGUUGAGUGAGAAAAAAGAACAAAUAGAAGGCAGGUCUUUCUUAUAUAAGGGUUUCUAACACUCAGUAUUCAUCAAAGCCUCUAUCCUGUCCAACCCUUUUACAAUGAUCUCACUUUCAUGAGAAGAAACAAGUGUUUGUUAAAGUAUUACGUCUCCUGCUAUAUAUCAAGGGUUUGUGACAAAGCCCGAACAAGUGACCAAGACACAUCUUUUAUACAUUUUCAGUCCUAAAGAAGAGACUGGACUGGGGCUUUCUUAGAGUCAUAUUCCUUGUAUCCACAAACAAGUAACGAUGUUGCAUAAAUUAGGGACUGCAUCUACCCUUUCUAAGAGAGGAAAGGAGAUGUUUUCUGUGUAAUAAAUCGGCUGCAAGACUAACUAAAUGCAUUUUGUAGUACUUUUUAUGGAGCAAGUGCAAUAUUUUUUACAGAUAAAGCAUAGCCAAGAGCAAAGGUUGAUGAUGGCUAUAUAAUUAAAGGCAUUCAAACUGUGCAAGUUGUCUGCCAACAAACGCUUUGCAAUGAAAAAGGCUCCAUAUUCAGCAACUGCUUUAAAAAUACUGUUCAAGCAUGGAUUUCCUUAAACUACCACUUGUCUGGCAAUGGCUUCCUCACCUGUGUAAUAAGAUUAAGAGAUCUACUUGAAAGCCAGAAAAGCUUUGCAAGUCAAGUGGAUAUUUGCAUAUUUUACAUUGCCAAAUACCUAAAGGAGAGAAACGUUUUCUGAAAGAUGAGGAAAACGUACAGAACACUAGAACUAGCACAAGGUUUUUAGACUCAAAGCAGCCCAAGUUCCUGAUUUUUGCCAGCUCUGCCAGCAUUGUUAAGUUAGUAAAAAAUAAAAAUAAAAAUCUGUUUGCAAUGACUACAUGAACUUUACAAACUAGUAAAUAGUUAAUAUUUAAUCUUAAAUGUACUUCGGGUUUUAAAUCAAGAGAAACUAUUUCAGUGUCUCAGGUGUCAGAUGGGGUAGCUAAUGAAGUGCUUUCUUGAGUGAUUUCUGUCACAAGCCUGCAUUCUGCAAAAUAGACCUUGGAAGAUUACAGAUACAUCAGAGGUAUCUGUAGAUACCUUUCAAGAAUAAAAAUAACAAAAUAACCUUACUGUAGUGUUUUGUGACAUUUAUUUUCUUUGAAUAGCAAAAUACACUCUAUAUCAGUUUCAAAAAUAAAAUAAAUUUUAAAAAGUGUCAAUUUUCUUAAUGUGAUUUGCUUUAUUUUGCUAGCAUGAGAUUACUGAAAUCAGUUGGAAUACCUGAAUACAUUAAAAAUAGGGGAAAUGCAAUGUGUUAUGGGCAAAAAGUUCUAUAUUGAAUAGAAAAUUAUGGUAAGUCACAAAUAUUUCUGCUUAGUCUUAUACUAAGUACAGGCAAACAGUAAGCUUUCUCUUUUAAGUCCUGCCAGUUCAGGCCAGUAGUGACCCACAGUAUACUUUUCCUGUCCAGAAUUUCUCUUGAGAAAAGCUUGCCAAUCACACAAAAUUACUUGGUGCUUUGGGGAUCUGGACAUAUACAGAUAAGGGAAUCAACUACCAAACUUAUUUGAUGUGUAUCAUAAAUCAGAAGUGAACGUUAGUCUCCCAAGGGAACAAAAAAAAAUGGCCUACUGUAUUAAAAUACUUUGAUACCUUUGAUGUUCAAUGUUUAGAGCAUGAACUAUUUUCUAAACAUCUUUGAACUGAAGCUGAAAGAUACACUACUGAAAUCUACUCUUGCCUUCCUGCCUGCUUUUUUUUUUUUUUUUUUUUAACCAGCAAGGAGCAUCAAUUCCAUCUUAGACACAGAUAUGUGAUCAUUUGGCAAUGCUCUAAAAUUCUAAUUUAAAAUUGUUAUUUUCUUCUGUGCACAGGAAGACAUUUUUUGGUGGUUUUCUUUCAGGGGAGUGAAUGGUUUUUAGUUUUUCACCAAUUGAUAUCAUGAGAGAGAAUGAAAGACUGUGUAUACAUAAGCCACUGAAUAAUCAGUGAACCCAUUUAAGAGAGAUACCUACUGAGGUCAAUGAAAUUGGCAAUCUAAUGAACAAUCUAAUAGUAUUGUUACAAGUUUUAUGGUUUCUGUUUGUAAUUAACUUUAUGUGACAUUUAUUAUAAAAAGAUCAAAAAUUAUUAGUAGCAAUUACAUUUAAUGCAGCCAUGCAAUUGCACUUAUAUACUUAUUCAACUUUUAUUUUCAUUGACUCCCUGCUUCCUAAGUUAAUGCCUCUCUAUGUAUCAAACAACUUCAAUGUUUAUGAACUUUGGCCAAUAUGAGUAGAAAGUCUUUGUUUUCAUAAUGAUUUAUUUGAAUUCAGUUCUGUGGAUUUUAUCUGGAUACAUUUCUUGCUAUAUGAGAGAAAUCUCUUGAACAAAAGGAAGAAAAAGUAAUCCUUUAUAUUGUACUCAGUUCAUAGUUUCUUUGAAGUGAUGCUGAUAAAGGCAGUUUUGUGUUUUUCAGAAUGGAUUACUAACACAGUAAUAAUCAAAGAGCUGAUUUGUGUCAGUUGUACCACAUAGGGAAGACCCUCUAACUAGAUAUUUUAGAUGUUGAUAGCAUUUAUGAUUGAGUUUUGUAUAUACUUUGUUACAGAUGUGCAUAACUGUCAAAACCCAGGUUUUGUGAAAUGCUAAAAUGAACACACAGACACUGAAAAUAUGAAAAAGUUACAAUUAUGUUAUUCACCACUGAGUUUACAAAAACAGCACAGGUGUCAUUGCCACAGCAAGUCCAUAGAGUUAGUCUGUAUGUUCCACUGCCUCGUCCUGUAGCCCUGAAGUCACAGGUGCCACUGUCAGGCUGAAACCUCCUUUCAGAUGCUCUCUGUCUGGAAGCUUCAAAUCUACUGGAGAAUUCAAAUAGAUGCGAAAAGUCUUUGCAUUUUCUCUACUCAUAUUCACACUGUUCCUUGCCAGUGCUGUCAUAGCCAUGGACUCUACAGGAACAUAAGCAAAAGUCAUUCCAUAUCAGGGAAAAGCAUGUGAUACAGUCACAACAGCCCCUUGUAAUACAAUAAGCAUAGGGCAAAGUGGCUGGAAAGCUCCAUACUGGAGAAGGAUUUGGGGGGUUAGUUGACAGCCAGCUACACAUGAGCCAGCAGUAAGCCCAGAUGUCCAAGAAGGCAUCCUGGGUUAUAUCAGAAAUAUUGUCUGCCCAGGGAAGUGGUGGAUUCACCAUCCCUGGAUGUUUUCAAGGAAAGGGUAGAUAUGACACUUAGGGACAUGGUUUGUGGGCAUGGUGGUGAUGAAUCAGUGGUUGAAUUAGAUAAUGUUAGUGGUCUUUUUCCACCUUAAUGAUUCUCUGAUCCUAUGAUCAUUAAAUAGGGAAGAUAUCUGAAUAAUAGUUCCAAGGAGGCGUAUAGCAGUUUCAGGGAGAAAACUUAUUGACAGACUGGAACAUUUUGAAAUUUCCAAAUUAAAAUUUCUGAACAAUUAUUUUAUCUGUGCAAAAAUCAUAUUUGGAUAUUUUACAACAAUCUGUGGGGAGGGCUACUGUUACUUUUGAUAAUAAUUCAUUGGUGCUUUUAUUGUUUCUUGGCUGACUUUCAACAUGUAGCUCCUACAAUGCAAGGGAAGGUAGACACGGUUUCUGUUACUACACUGAUGGAAUAUUGAAACCUGAAUUGAAGUGCAUUAGCUGAAGUCAGACAAGGUUGUGGUAGCGAUCACUAGGGAAAUUAGAAAACCUUGAAAAACUUUGAAGACAUUUUUUGCUAGGGCACCUAUGUAUUAAAAAACUGUGUCUCUCAGUUAUGAUAAAAUUGUAUUACAUAACCUGAGUGAUCUCAGGAGUUAGUAAGUGACUGAUUUUCUGUUCCCUUGGUAAGCAAUAAUUCAUGCAAACAGAUUGACUGAAGUUUUACCGUGCUAGUGUAAAGAGAAAACAGUGAAAUAUUGUUUGAGAUGUUUUUACAAGUGAAAAUGACAGCAUAUGAAGAAAUAUGUUAUAAAACAGGACAGUAUUAAAAAAGUAAAGAAAGCUAAGCUCAGUCUUUUGAAGAAAAAUAUUAAAGAAGUUGGUAGGAAAAAAAAGAACUCGUUUCAUGUACAUAGAGAGAAAACAGGCAUUAAUAACCUGCAUGUGCACAGAUCAGCAAAUUUAUGAAGAUAUGUAUGAACAGAGAACACGACUUCAAAGCCAUUUGUAAUUACAGAAUGGUUUAUAUUUAAUCCUAAAUGUAUGGAAGGGGAUAAUGAGCUGGGAAAAAAUGAAGGCAUAUCGAACUAUUCUAGCAAAAACAAGGGAAUUUUUGCCAUUUUGUGUACUUUCUAUAGGCUAGAGGGACAAAUUUGUGUAUAGUAGAGUUCCUAUGAAAUUCAGGGUUCUGAUUUGACACAUGAAGUGAAAACAUCUUGGAUGCUUUAAUUUUACUGUGAAAAACCAGCAUAUGAUAUCAUGCACAUUAUAUAUGCAUAUAAAUGAUAUUAUUUUAUGGGUUUUAUGAUCUUUGUUACUGGUAUUCCACAUCAUAAUAUCAUGUAAAGCAUUGGGAGUUAAAAGUUGAGAACAAUUAAUUCUGUUAUUUUUUAUGUAGCAGCUAAUCACAAGGCAAAAUGCUUCCUUUGAUAGGAUCUGAGAAACUGAAAAGCUUGUCUCAGAGAAGUAUUCAUCUCAGCUAAUUUUAAACACUUAUAACAUGGAAGUCUGCAUCUGAGCUAAUGGCCUUAGGCACAUAUGACCUUUCCCUGGUCCACCAUAGAUGAGAUGAGAAGAAAUCUGAAUCUAAAUCCAAAAGAGCAUUUGAAUGUGGAAGUAAAAGCCUGCAUUGUGAAGCCUGAGAGAGAAAUUUGCCCAUGCUUAAUGGUAUUAAUAAAGUUCUGGGGAAGUAGAAUUGAAAAAUUCAGAAGCUUUUUUUUUUCUUUUUUCUUUUUAAUAUCUUGAUGUCUAAGAAUAAAUAAUAAUCCUUUUUCUUUGUAUUCACUUAAAACCGUAAGUUUGCCAAGACAAUUAUUUUCUUGUUUUCCAUAGUUAAUAUUCUGCAAAGUCUUCAAUAAGGAGGUUUCACAGAUGAUUUAAGAACACUUUGAAAGUAUAAUGUACUUCUGUGAAAUGUGGAGGCUGCGAUGAAAUAUUUAAACAUCAAUGGAUUGAGAUGGAAAAUACCUAAUGGCUUUCCUUGCGGAAUCAUGCAUUGAAUAUUUUGGAUUCAUUUUAAAUCUUAGGGGAUCCACCUAACAGUUUAAUUGCUGAGAAAAAAAAUGCUGCAAUUGACAUCUAAACCAAAUUGCUUUAACCAAGUCCUGAAUUAAAAAUAUUUGUGUUUUUAUUACAGAAUAUGAAUUUCAAUAUAUCCGUAAUGGCAGAAUCCCCCAAAAAGCUAUUAACUGAGAUAACUGGCUGAGGAAAUCAACCCACUAAGCAAUUUUGUGAAAAUUAAAAUUCAUUUUCCACACAUUGUAGUGUACUGGUUCAGUAUAGCACCAGUUCAGUAUAGCACCUUUUUCUGUGAUAUUUCCCAUUUGUUAAAAUAGGAGUAGUAGUCAUCCUGUUUCUACCAGUUUAAGAGCCUUAAUAUCAGCAAAGCAAGAGUGCUGAGGAUUUGACAGACACGCUUAGGUCAUUAUUUCAUAGUGCAAAUAUUUUUUAAGUAUGUACAAGGUAAAACCAAAUGAAACAAAUCCAUUAAGCAUCAUUUUUUAUAGCUUUUCUUCCUAUUCCUUGGAAACCUCUGGGGACAGUGAUUCCACCACCUCCCUAGGCAGCCUGUUCCAAUACUUCAUCAGUCCAAGAACUUUUUCCUGAUAUCCAACCUGUUCAGCUAUCCCCCAGUUCAACUCAAAGCCGUUACCUCUUAUACUACUACUGUUACAUGUGAGAAGAGACCAGCCUCCAUCUUGCUACUUCUUCCUCUCAGACUAUUACAGAGCUGUAAGAUCUUUCCUGAGCCUCCCCCUCUCCAGACUAAACAAUCCCAGUUCCAUCAGCUGCUCCCCACAGGACUUUUGUUCCAGACCUUCCAGCAGCUUCUUUGCCCUUCUUAGGAUAUGGUCCAGGGCCUCAGUGUCUUUCUUGUAGUGAGGGGUUCAAAACUGAACGCUGUAUUUGAGGUAUGGCCUCACCAGUGCUGUGUACACGGCAAUGAUCGAUCUCAUGCCUAGUUCUGCUGACUACACUCUUUCUGAUACAAGCCAGAAUGCUAGUGUUCUUGGCUACCUGAGCACACUGUUGAGUCAUGUUCAGCUGAGCACUGGCCAAGAAUCCCAGGUCAUUUUCCACCAAGCAGGUUUCCAGCCACUCUACCCCAAGCCUGUAAUGUUGCACGUGGUUGUUGUGACCAAAGUGCAGGAUUCAGUACUUGGUCUUGUUGAAGCUCAUGCAAUUUGCCUCAGUCCAUCAAUCUAGACUGUCCAGAUACCAACGUAGAACUUUUCUACUCUCAGACAUGGUUUCAUCUGAAGAUUUACUGAUGGCCCACUUAAUCACCUUGUCCAGAUCAUCAAUGAAGAUAUUAAACAGGACCAGCACUAAUACUGACCCCUGGAGAACACCAUUUGUGACUGGUCACCAGCCAGAUUUAACUCCAUUCACCACCACACUCUGGGUCCAGCCCUCCAGCCGGUUCUCUACCCAGUGAAGACUGUACCUGUUCAAGCCAUGGACUGCCAUCUUUUCCAGGAGAAUGCUGUGGGACACAAUGUCAAAGGCUUUAUUCAUGUCUAGGUGGACUACAUCCAUAGCUUUUCCCUCAUCUACUAGGGAAUUUUUGUAGUCAUGAUCCAAAUUUUCAGAAGGUAUCUCUGUAUCCUGAUGAAGAGAUCUUUUAAAUGGCUCAUUGAAGGAGACUCAGAUUGCCUAGAAACUGAUGCGCAUUAUGGUUCCACACCCUUACUCAUAAUUUUUAUAAUUAAUAAAAAUUCAGAGAGAAACUCCUUCCAUUUUAAAUUUGCCCAUAGCACUCCUGUGCUAGAGUUUAGAAUUCUCGACUCUGAAGAUAAACGGAAAAUUAUUUUUUCUAAUUGUAUCCAGGAGCUUUUAUGUAGCAUAUUUUAAAAUGUCACAAAAUAAUGAAGUUUAGAUAAGCCAUUAAGGAAAAAACAUGUUUUUCAACUGAGUAAAGAUGCCAGCAAUUCAAACAAUAGUGCUGCAUUUGUCAGAUAAUUAGCCAAUGAUUGUCUUUUGAACUCUGAAAAUAAAUUUAGAAGGAGCAGAUAUGCUGUGCUGUAAAAUGUGAGAGCUUUCAGAGUUUUUUUUUUUUCUUCUUUUUAAGACUUUUGCUUAAAGAUUUUUUUUGAAGUGUUUUCUAACUAAGUACUUGAAUUAUGUACACAUGAAUAGCCUUUAAGGAAAUCAUACAGGUCUCUUCAACUAUAUGCUAUACAGAUUUUAAUUUUACAGAUUUUUAUUAUUUUAGUUCCACUAAAUGCUUUUAGUUAAGGUUGACCAAAAUUUUCCCCUUUGAGACCAGUUUUUAAAUUCCUUGUAAUUGCCAUAUUUAAACUGUUCAUGCUGUUGUGCCCCAUGCCAUAUGUCUACUCUGGGAUGAAUCGGUUUGGAAAAUUCCAUAAAAAUGGUUCAGUAGUUUUGCAGUAUUGACAAAAAUGCUUUUUUUUCCCCCCAUAACUAAUAUAUUAUGCUGAAGCAGUUAACUUGAAUACUGUUGUUAUUUCCUAAUGAACCUCUGUUUAUGUUGUAUUGAUGUCCUGUAGAAAUGAGUCCAAAUGAAACUUCUGAUAAAAUCUUAGUAACUUGUGGGAAUACAAGAAAAACUGUUCAGAGGAGCAGCUGUGGAGCAAGAUAAACAGCAGUAAGCAAAAGAGCAAAACAAACAAAAAUUGAUCUCUCCUCCCAGCUAUUCAUUUUACUAGGGAUCAAACUCUAUGGUCAAGUAAAAGUUUUUGAUGAACGUUACUUUAGAAUAAAUAUAUCUAAUUAAUUGAAUAGUACUUAAAACGUCAUUUCAACUCUACACAUUUAUUUUUUAGGUGCAAAUCUUUCCCAAGAAUAUUCACAGAACAGAGAAUCAGGCGUAAAACCUAUCUACAUUUACACACUACUUUUUGACAGCAACAUCUUAAAUGUACUAUACUAUUCUGACAUUUUUAAGAGAACUUUUAAGAGAAAAUACUUAUGAGUAUCUGCAGUUCAAAUUUAUGCUAUUCUUUCUUUAUGGUAACUCACAAUAUUGUACACUAACUAUCAAAAGAAAGAAAUUUGUGAUUCCCCUGCAAUAUUUGCCUUUGGAUAAAAGAGGAAAAAAAAUCUAAUGCCUUCACAGACUGUAAUAAGUCUAAAAUUCACAAACUAAACCUCUAGUUCUAAUAACAUGGAAAACAUGCUUAACUCUGGUCACUCAAAUACUUCAGGGUAAGUCCACCUUCAUCUGUUGAAUACUCUUGCAUCCUCAGCACAGUAGCCAGGAAAAUUGACUGUGUGACAUAUCC
rnacentral:lncRNA from 1 species